rnacentral:pre_miRNA from 1 species
CCAGCUUCCUUCCAGCCCUUGAUGUUUUAGUACGCACAUAGGCUAGAGAGAGGUUGGGGA